UACGUAGGGUGCAAGCGUUGUCCGGAAUUAUUGGGCGUAAAGAGCUCGUAGGCGGUCUGUCGCGUCGGAUGUGAAAACUCGGGGCUCAACCCCGGGCCUGCAUUCGAUACGGGCAGACUAGAGUUCGGCAGGGAGAGACUGGAAUUCCUGGUGUAGCGGUGAAAUGCGCAGAUAUCAGGAGGAACACCGGUGGCGAAGGCGCCACUCUGGGCCGGUACUGACGCUGAGGAGCGAAAGCGUGGGUAGCAAACAGG
rnacentral:rRNA from 1 species